GUUUGCUCGGCUUUUGCUGCAGAAGCAGCCAGCAGGUUUACUAUCCUUAAAUCAAAACUCUUCUACACAGAACGAAUUUGGUUCUUAACCAUUUCAUCAGAGGGGAAUUAAUUUAGUUAAUGGAGAUGAAUGGCACCUGAUAAGCCAGGAUGUGAAUGUAAACAGUAAUGGGAACACUAUAGUGAACGGCGAGAUCAUUCUCAAGGAAUGGCUGAAUUCAAACUUCUCCUUUGGGCACACGGCACACGGACUCUAAUAUGGCUGUUCGCAGGAGAGCUGGAGUCCAUCCUUGCACCCGUCAGGUGGAAAGCAAAGAACAUAAUCCUGGAUAGAACACCAGAGCAUCAAAGGGUAUGCACACCCACUCAUGUUUCAGGCAUACAUACAACAGCUAUGCCUAUAGCUUGCCUUUCGGAUGUAAGAGGAAAUUGGAUCAUCCAACCUAAUCCAUGAGGACAGAGGGGAACUCAAAGAUAUCUCAUAUAAGGCUUCCAAGGUGGGAAUAGAACUGCAAAACCAAGCACUAUAUCACUGGCACUGACCUAUGCAACUGCUUAUUUUUUCUGGAAAACUACAACCGAAGGGAAGAAACAAGAGAGGAAGCAAGUGGCAUCACAGUAGAUAAAAAAUCUGAAGCACACAUGCAACCUGUAUGCAAGAAGACAUCUAGAAUGCUACACUGUGUAUUGAAAUACAUAACACAGACACAGAGUCCUACUAACAAUGGCCUUUAAUUCUGAACUGCAGAGUCAUUUCAAAUAUAUGUUUAAUUUGGAAUUCAUAAAAAAGAGACCUAAAUAACAUACAUGCAGUUUAAAAGUACUUUCUGUCCUUAAAGCCACACAGAGAAUGUAAUAACAUAAUCGUGUAACUAUGCCUUGUAAGAGAGCCAGUGUCUAGAUUAACAGUGGGAUAGUGGAUGGAACCGGCUGUAGAAACAACAUGGGUGGUUAGAGUCUACUCAUUCAAAUUUAAUUAGGAAAAUCACAAAGUAUACCAUCCAGAUGUGCAAAUGGAUUUUGCAUCUGUUUUUGCCUGUACUUGUGAGUUACACUGCUCAAAGAUGGUACAUUUUAUUCAAGCUGGGUAUUAAACACACCUAGUAUUAUGGUUUCAUGAACUUAAAAAAUAUAAAAUCUGGUGAUAUCCUGGCAUGGUCCAAACACUUAUUCUAGAACAACUUUCUCUACAGUUUGGGAUAAAACUGGAAGACAUAUGGAUCUUAAACCAUGAGAGGUUAAGGAGAUGUCAAACCUAGGUAUGGGAGUUACCUACUUCUUUUUAUCAGUCCUAUACCCUUCCAUAAUGGUGUAAUGAAGUAAGCAUUCUGUGAUAUAUGUUAUCAGGCUGUGUUCUGUACCAAGGAAAAUGGGAUGAACUGUGUCUACGCUGGGACUCCCAGAUGGUGAUAUUUUCAACAAAAGGGCUUCCUCUCUGGUGGCCUAUGCCGUCCUGAAGUGAAGCAAGACAAUCAUAACCAGUUCUAUAUCUCAGAAGGGCACUUUUCCCAAAGUUAAAGGGAGGCAAUCAUAGCUAGCUUUGUGUCCCAGAAGUGCACUUUUCCCAAAGUUAAAGGGAGCAAUCAUAGCCAGCUUUAUUUCCCAGAAGGGCACUUUUCCAAAAGUUAAAGGGAGCAAUCAUAGCCAGUUUUGUGUCUCAGAAGGGCACUUUUCCAAAAGUUAAAGGGAGGCAAUCAUAGCCAGCUUUGUGUCCCAGAAGGGCACUUUUCCCAAAGUUAAAGGGAGCAAUCAUAGCCACCUUUAUUUCCCAGAAGGGCACUUUUCCCAAAGUUAAAGGGAGCAAUCAUAGCCAGCUUUGUGUCCCAGAAGGGCACUUUUCCCAAAGUUAAAGGGAGGCAAUCAUAGCCAGCUUUGUGUCCCAGAAGGGCACUUUUCCCAAAGUUAAAGGGAGGCAAUCAUAGCCAGCUUUAUUUCCCAGAAGGGCACUUUUCCCAAGUUUAAUCAGGGGAAUCAUAGACAAUAUAGUAUCUUAGAGGGACAUUUUUCAGUUUCUCUUCCAAAGGCUAACAAUCCAUCCAGUAAACUAUGGAAAAGGAAAAAUCAAAAGGCUGAGUACCAGAAGAUAUCCAUUCAUUUAAAUUUAGGAGUUCCACAAACUUAGGAAAGGUACAUUUUCUUUUCCAUACAGGUGUGUGACUCCGGAGUGAGAAUAUUUAAGCUGCAAUGUGUGAAGGCACAACUUCUCAUAUACGGGGAUACAGGGGGAGAGAUUUUUCAUCCACAAUAAUUUUUUGUAUGUUCUGGUUGUGUUUCUGAUAUUGGCUUUUUAAUUACACUCAUUCAAAAGCUUGACUGUUGAUUAUUGACUUUCUGAACCAGAUACCAUUUCUUUUGUAACAAAAGGUGAGGUACAAGAAUUCUGUCUAGUGUAAUUCUGCCGGAAGGUUAGGUUAGUACAGAUCUGUGCUUACUUUUGUGGCACACAUUGCAUCUGCUUCCUCAUACACUCAGGUGACUUAAAAAUCUUUGGAACUGCCUGAGGUUUUUAUGUUUGAGAGCACAACUCCUCAAAUACCAGCCCAGAUAAUUACAGAUCCAUAAGCCUGACCAGUCUCCUCUGUAAGGCUGGAAGGAUUAUUAUGGAAUUAAUAAAUAAGGAUACAGGUAACCUGCUGACUCUUGAUCCAUCCCAGUUCAGACUAAUCAAGGUCAGGUCCUGCCUACUUUACCUGGAUGACAUCUUUAAACAAUUUACUGAAACAAUGAAUGGGAGAAAAACAGAGCAAAUCUAGACCUUGCAAAGGCAUUCAACACAUUUUCACAUUUCCACACUCAGGUAUUAUAGAUUAACUCUCCAAGCUAAAUGUUAAUCCCAGUGUAACUUAUUCUGCAGCAAACUGAUUCAAACAUAGAACACAGAAAAUUAGGGUGGGUGGCUCUAUCUUUUCCAAAAGACCCGUCAUUAGCAGUGUACUCCAGGGGUCAGUCCUUGGGCCACUCUUCUUUGACAUUUAUUUCUCAGAGGUCCAAGUUAAUGUUAAGAGUUUGUGGCUGACCGAGUUUACUGAUGAUUGUAAACAUGGUGCCAUCAUAAACUCCCCAGAGGGCACCAAGAUCUUCCAAGACAGCCUGUUCCAAACAAAUAGCUGGUGUCAAAAACAAUGGACUAAAACUAAAUGCUAAGAAGUGUGUAGUCAUAUCCUUCGGCAAGCAUGAUUCCCCCCUUGUAACUAUCACACAGACAAAUAUCCUUGAAAAUUAAUCUUGUAGUUAGAGAUCUGGGAACUGUCUUUUGAUUGCCAUGAAUCUGUUGUAAGUCAGUCCUUUUUCAUUGCACUCAUUAAGUCAGUCAUUGAGUAUAUUUUGCCUUUCUGUAUGUAUGUGUCCAAAUACUUGUCACAAAUGGAUUGACCUCAACAGUUUCUCACAAAAAAGGCCUAAAUCACAAAACAGACCACUUAUUCUGUUCAAAUUUAAUUUGGAAUAAUGCCAAAAAUUCACCCUUGGUUUGGCACCCCUGUCUCUUGUGGAUAGGGGAAACGUAAAUGUCUUAACACAUCCUUCUUCUCCUCAUCACUGGGUUAUUUAUAUGUAAAAUUAAAGGGCUAGAGACUACCACGGGAAUGUUUGGCAAGGAUUUUUAAUAUCCUCACAGAUCAGUAUGCUAGUUAGUACCUAUGAACCUAAGACCCCAUGAGGUGGGCCUUGUUUGAAGUCUGUGGCAUUACGACAUUAUUAACUGAAGAAAAAAAUGAAACAGUUAUAAUGCUGGUGCUCACUUAAUAUGGAAGUUUAGCAAAUGUAAAAAAAGUAAAUAGAAAGAAAAUAAAUUCAGAUAAGUCAGGUAACAAAAGUAAUUGCAGUACAAUUACAAAGAUUUGUCAUUCCACUAUCCCUUUGAUAAUGUCUAAAGACAUUUUAAAAAAGUUAGAAUGUGUGAGAGAGAUGGAGAGAGGGAGAGUGUGUGUGUGUGUGCAUGUGUGCGUGUGUGCGUGUGUGUAUACUCAGUAGUACAGUCUUAUGCAUUAUUUUUCCACAAUUCAUGCAGUGUAAACCAAAAUGUGGUCACCUCUACUCAAUAAAAUCUGUUUCCCAUCCCUGCCUACUUAUGAAUUAUAUACACAGCAGCACUACUUUUACUGUUACUCUCUAUUGUACAAACACAAGAAAGGAAUUAAACAUUAUUCGCAGGUGACAAGUUAAAAUCAUCUAAUGUUUUACAUUAUUCCUUCAUGCUCAUGGUAAAACCUAGCAAACAUAAUGCCCUCCAUCACACUUGUUUUCACAUCAUCAUAAGGAUCACAAAUGUGCAAUGCAAAAUGUUACAGUUCAAUGUGGUGAAAUCUGUUUGCUGUCCCUGUCUGCAUUACAGUGCAUUGUCACAGCACUUCUACCUUUGAUAUUACUGCCUACUGUGCAAAUACAAUUGUUUCUGUUAUGAGGAAUGAGAAAUACAAGAAAAGCAAAUGUUGUUAUUUAAUUUCUGUCUUUUCUUAUGAGUUUUAUUUUGUCCUCUGAAUGCUGUUGAAGUUGCCUACAAAGACAUUUAAAAAUGCCGUAUUCUGUAUCAUACAUUAUUACUAUGCUGCUUUCCCUUUAAAUAGCGCACCGACCAUUUCCACAGUCACUGUCUGUUUGGUUGCACACAGAACAGCUUUCUGUUAGUGCAGUACCAUUCAUGCAGUCAUUAUUCCCUCCUACUUCCUACUCCAAAACUACCAUUCCCCUCACACCAUUAACACCUAAUGCAAUGUUACUACUGCACUGUAUGUAUCAUUCAGUACUGACAAAUGCUUUUCAAAUUUGCAGAGUUUAUCUGAAUUGUACUUGCAACAUGGUUAUACAUCGUACUCCUCGCAUAUUUCCUUUACCAUGACAAAGCCUGGUUUUGUUCCAUCUGCAUGUGUUCCCAAGUUAGUGGACAUAUUCAUUUUUUAGGUGUUCAUUCAUAUUCUCUGAAUACCAUUUCUGAUGCCAACUAACCCUAGUUGUCUUUGUUCUGUGAUUCUGAAGCUGUUUCAUAACCAGAUUCACUCUGCUAUUUUGUUUAUAUCUACCUGAAGCAUGAUGGAUUUUGACCUUGCAUUGAUGUUACCUUUCUCUCAAUAAAAGUCUUGGUGAAUAA